ensembl:lncRNA
UUUUACCAAAACCCAAUAGCAAAAAUUAUAACAAACCAUGAAAUGCUGAAGCUAUUUCCAUUAAAAAAUAGAGCUGAUUUCUUGUUAAAUUUAAUCUGUAGUGAAAUUGAUCACACCUUUCUUUCUACCCGCACUGGUGUAGGACAUACUCAGCCAUGUGGCUGAGUACGGCCCCAGUGCAGUAAUUGGAUGUAUUUAAACAUCUCUUUCUCCCGUUAGAUUGAGACUUCCUAGAGGCAGGUGUAGUCCUUAGAAAUUCUUGUAUCCUUAGUCCCUGACAUAGUCUCUGAUGCAAAAAGUUUCCUGAAGGCACAGCAAUUGAAGGAAUAUCAUAAUACUAGAAUUUUGUACUUUACAAAAGGCCGUGUUUGUCUUCCCCUGAGAGAAUUGUGUCAGUUUGAUUUAUAUACGACAUGCUGAGCAUACCAUGAACAUAAUUUGCAAAAACUGUUUUUCAAAAAGUCCAACUAAAGAAUUAUAUCUGAAUCAGGGAGCAGAGACCAAUGAGCCCAUUUGCACUUUUUAUUAUGUUAUCUUUCCUUGAGAUUUUAAAAUCUCACAUAGUUCCAUUGUGAUCAUUUUUUGAAACUCAUUUCAUGAUUGUUUCAGAAUUUAUUCAUCAUAUUGAGAUGAGCUGUGAACAGCUUGGAAGUGCAAUAGUAUAAGUCACUUAGCUUAAGUUUAUAUACCUGAGAAACCAUAACAAGAUUAAAAACAAACAAACAAACAAAUGAAAACCCAAAAACUACUGGGGAAAUGCUUCUCUAAAAGGAAUUUUAGUUUCACAUCCUUCCCACCUUCUAAAAACAAAUUUUCUUCUAUUUUUCUUACAAAAUUACUAUUUAAAUCCAAGGACAUCCAUAUAUUUAACUUCUCUAGAGCCCUGAGUUAUUUCACUUAGUAUUAAUGCACCAGGCCUCUCUGCCUGUACUUGCUAAUACCUGUUUAGAAGCUAAUGCCUCCUGCUGCUAUGUUUUUCUCUUAAGAAGCAAGAGACACAUUACCCUGAGAUGGGAAACAGGUUAGAUGUUCAGGAUUCUACUGUAGAAGGAUUCCACCCCACCCUGAGUUAGCCCACUCAUUUAUUCAUUUAGCAAGUGUUUAUGAAGCUCAUAAGCUGGAGUGGGUACAGGGUGAAGACACAGCACAGACCCCAAAAGAGAUUUAUACUCUGACAAUAUUCUCCUUCUUCCCUUUCUUUACCUUUUCCCUGCCUAUGCUGUGUGUUUCUCAGUGGUGUCCUUCGGAGGCAACAAGGAAACAAAAAGCCGUGUUCUUACAUCAGACGAAUUUAAUUACUUUAAAGGAUAGUUUAAAGAAAUAGACGUUUCCUUUCCUUUUCUCCUCUCUUCAUCUAUCUACCUACCUACCUACCUACCUAUCAUAUCUAUAUAUUUAUCUAUCUAUCCAUCCAUCUAUCACCUGUCUAUUUUUGGUCCGCCUAGUUCUAAUCUCAUCCCCUCUCUCCUGGAAACAGCACCCUGAUUUUCCUUGGGGAAUACACCCUCUCCCACUGCUGGCCCAUGUGGCUGAGUGAGGCUCAGUAUUCACCUCAGCUUCAGGGCAGGACAUGGGAUCCAGGUCUGGCCAGUGAGAGGAAUUUCUGGGAUUUUUAGCUGGAAUUACCAGGAAAAAGCACUCUCAUCUGGAGUUGCUAACUUGGUAGAGUUUAAUUCUGAUGCUGCUAGUGGCCAUCUUGUCAUCACAAGUAGAGACAUUGUAUGAAAAUGAAGCUGAACACAGAGGAAAAGGAAUUGAAUGAUGAAGGAAGACGCUUUUUUUUUUUUAAAGAUUAGCACCUGAGCUAACAUCUGUUGCCAAUCUUCUUUUUUUUUUUCCUUCUUCUUCUCCCCAAAGCCCCUCAGUACACAGUUGUAUAUUCUAGUUGUGAGUGCCUCUGGCUGUGCUACAUGGGACGCCGCCUCAGCAUGGCCUGAUGAGCGGUGCCAUGUCUGCGCCUAGGAUCUGAACCAGCGAAACCCUGGGCUGCCUAUGAAAUGGGGCGCACGAACUUAAUCACUCGGCCAUGGGGCCGGCCCGGCCCCAGGAGACACAUUUUUGAUGAGACCAUCUGAGUACAUGAGUUCAACCAGGCUACCUGCGACUAAAAUGCAUAUAAAUGGACACCUAAUGCAGUCCAGAGUCAGAGAGGCUCCCUGGGAAAGUGACUUCUAAAUGGUCUCUCAAAGGAAGUCAUGCUAAGAGGGAAAGGAGAGUGUUUUCAGCAAAGGAAACAGCAUGUUGGAAAACUGUGAGUUGAGAGAUAGUGCAACUUAUUUGAUGAAUUGAAAGCUGUUCCCACUGCUUGGUACAUAGAGGGCAAGAAGGGACAGAGGCAGGAGCACCACGGAGACAUGAGGCUGCAGAGGUUACACAAGGUCAGGUAACCCCAAACUUCAUCCUCAAGGCAAGAGGAAGGGUCUUCAGUGGGGCAAUGACAAGAUCUGAAUUCUAUCCAGAAGUGUUUCUCUGACAGCCAUGUAGAAAAUUGAUUGAAGUUGGGCAAAACAAGGAGACCAGUUAGUGUGACAUGAUGGUGGCCUUUCCUAGUAGUGGCAGUGGAAAUAUAGAGACAUGAAUGGAUUAGAGCGCUUUGUAAGAGUUAGAGUCAAGAGGCUUCGGAGGCUGACUGGGUGGAGAUCAGGAAGAAGGAGUCAAGGAAGAUGCUAGUUUCCUGCCCUGGGCACUGGCUGAUGGUGGUGUUGAGGGAGAGCAUCACAGAAGCAGAAGGUUUUGGAAGAAGAGGAAUUCAGUGUUGGAGAAUUUGGGUAUGAAGUAUUUGGCAUAUCUGAGGGGAAAUGUGGGAUAGAAUGUGGAAUAUUCUGGUCCUCUAUGUCAGGAAAGUGAGAGUUGUGCUGAAGAUAUAAAUUUGGGAGAUGUGAAUGUAACUGAAGCCAUGAUUGUAGAUGAGAUAUUUUGGAAUCAAUGUUAGAUAAGGAAAAAAGAGGGCUUGGGGAAGAAUCCUGAAAAACACCAAUAUUUAGGGGUUAAGCAGAGGAGAAAUGGCCCCAAAAGGAGCCUAGAAAGAAUUAAUCAGAAGAGUGGAAGAAAAAUCAGGAGAGUGUGGCACUUCAGAGGCCAAGUCUAGAAAAUGUAUCAAAGAGAGAGUGGUGAAGAGUCAGCAGUGCUAUUUAGGGUCAAAGAACUGUGAUAAGCUAUUGUUACUGCUCGUCUAGCAGGUGGUAUCAGAAUACUUAUUAUGGAGAGCUCUGGGCUUGUUGAAAAAAAAAAGAAAUGUUGAUAAACACUUGAUAAUAAAACCAGUCGUGUCAAGGUUUCAAAAGAGGGAAAAGUCCAUCUUCAGGAGAGAAAGAGAAUUUGGAGGUCUUGGAGUAAUUCUGGAAGGGACAGCAAGGAAAGGAGAUGGAGGGAAAAAGCCAGGGAAAUAACAGGCCCAGAUCUGUAUGACGGGACACUUUCAUGGAACCUCACAGAAAUUCUGUAAAAUGUAUUAAAUGUGCGGUUGGUUGAAGUGAUAUUACUAUUUUGUGGAAACCAAUAGAGGGGCUGAAUUUCUCAACUGGAGAAGGUGUGGUAAGAAACAGAGAGAGCAGGUGAGAAAACUGACGCUGAGGGUACAGAGGAGGCCUGGAGACCUCGGUGGAGGUCGGGUGAAGGUGAGGCUAGGCUGCCUCAGUUUCAGUCUGGUUGCCCCUCUUAUCAGCUAUGGAACUGCUCUGAGCCUCAGUCUCCUUAUCUGCAAAAAAUGAGGACAAUAGUACUUAUUUCAUAGGAUUAUUGUCAGGACUGAAUGUGUUACUACAUGUGCCUAGCAUAAUAGGCUCUUACUAGACAUUGGCUGUUUUUUCAAAGCCCUUUGGAAGGGCUUUGGACUCCCACAGACCAUGGAAUUAGGGGAGAUUAGGGCAGUUUCCCCCAGGGCUCAAGGUUAAGGGAGGUUCCCAAAUGAUGCCUGCAUUAUAUAAGCGAGAGAUUGAAAAUUGUCUAUGGGAUUUAGCCACAAGGAUGAUAUUACUAAUCCUGAAGAAAGCAGUUUUAAUGAAGUGGUGUGGACCAAAGCCAAAUGGCAGUGUGUUCAUUCAGAAGUGAGUGGGGACAGUGACAAUUUUUAAAGCAGUUUAGCUAGGAAAGGCAAGAGAAAUAGACAGACAGAGACAUAGACAGAGAAAUAGACAGACAGAAAAAGAAGACAGAGAGAGAGAUGGGAUGGAACCUUAUCUCAGAGGUUACCCAUACAUCCAGGGUUGUGUAAUUGUCUCUUCUAAUAAAGACGAUACCUUAUCACAAAAUUUGGCUUCAUAGUUCUUUACUCUAUGUCCCUGUUGUCAUUUGGAUUUAAGGAACACAAGUCGAGACAUAAAAAGUAUAACUGAAACCAUUUUGAGGCUGAAACCGUUUCUGUUUCAAAUAGCAUAAAGUUGUACCCGGGAAUGAUAAAAAUGCCAAAAGUAAUUUCCAGCAUUCCGGAAGAUUAAGACACUGAAAACCAAAUAAUUGUUUAAAUUUGAGAAGUUUAAAUUUGAAUCUUGUGCUUUAAAGAGGCUUGUUAAUUUGCUGUGUUUAUGAAGUAAGACCCAAUCUGUGUCAUAUACUUCCUCAUAUUUUCUUCCUGAGUGGAGAGAAACAUCUUACUGGCAUAUCAUCACUCUUCAAUAGCUAGAGGCAUCAUCAAAAAUUGAGAUAAUUACCUUUAACAGGAAUAAAUGAAUUUUGAGUAUAUAGGCUCCUACCUCUUAAAGCACGGCAAAGGGGGUUAACAAGGCAAGGCGACUCUUGGCUGGAGGAGUACACGUAAGUCAUUCUUAAUUGGAGGUUUCACCUUUGUUCCCCUGGGCAGCUGCCAGGGAACUUUCUGCAUAUGACCUGAGAUAAAUGAGCAAGUCAGGGAACUGUUUGCAUCUCUAGGAUGAACUGCUAGGCUAUCGCUUUGAAAUUGUAAAGGAGAUGGUGGUGAUUAAAGACACGUUUUUUACAACUCAGUGUAAAAGACAGUUAAGAAGUCCUAAAGGAAGAGGCAGGGCUCAGGGAAGCCCACAACCAGUGACUCUGGGAUGCUGGAUUUCACAUUGUUUUUCUUAUUAAUGCUAGAGGGAGGCUGAUUUGGAACACAUACCACAAGGAGAAUUGUAGCUCAUGAAUCAGAGCAUCAAUAUUUUUUUGGGAAAGAACAGCAUAAGCAAAGGGAAGCUUUGAAGGGAAAGUUGUGUGAACACACUCUCUUCUGCAACAAUCUCUUCUGCUCCUCGAGGAGAGACUGAGACCGUCCUCCUUAAGAGGCUCUAGCCUCAGUAGUUGCAUGUUGAGCGUGAUCUGGAGAGUUGGGGCCCUGAAUUUACAGGUCUAGCCUAUUCACUUCUCUGCCACUAAUUUGGUGAUUUGGGGCAAGCCUUGACCCCUCGGAACCUCCUUUUUCCCAUAUGUAAAAUGGUAGAAAGCAAAUGGCCACUGGGAUUCUUGCCUAUUAUGGGGUUCUAAGAAUCUAGGAAGAUGGGCAAAAGAAUGUACAUCUCUAAUAAAGAGGCUCAAAAGAAACCAGCUUCUUGUGUUUUUGCUUUGGGAAUAACAUGUGCCAUUUGAUUAUACGGGAAAAGAAAGAAUGGGUAUGAAACCCAGACGUCUUGGGUUGGCACAUGCAGACAAUAAUAUUCUUAUAAAAAUUUUGGAUAAACACUUAUUAUACACUUGCUUUCAUCCCAAGUAUUUGGUUUUCAGUGUCUUAAUCUUCUGGAAUGCUGGAAAUUACUUUUGGCAUUUUCAUCAUUCCUGGGGUACAACUUUAUGCUAUUUGAAACAGAAAUGGUUUCGGCCUCAAAAUAACAGUUCCUGCUAAUCAACUCAAAAUCUUCCAAGUCACACAGACUAUCGGAAGCCAUAACCUAUUUUUCUGAACAGAGAAUGUAUUUGCUCAGUCCGUAAGAUUGAGAUCAAACUUGGAUGUUAUUUUCCAGAUUCUAGUCUUUGGAAAGCAGACGAAGAAUACCCCAAUGGCAUGAGAUGCUUUGUGAAUAGCAAACUCUAUAAACAUUUUCUUAGGAACCACAUUUUGUCCUGUGAAUAAUUAGGGUGACGUCCCUUGAGCUGGUGCAGCCUGCUGGUUUGUUAGGAUAGCUCCUUGAAUAGUGAGGCCUGCCUUUUCGGAUCCUGCUUCUCCUAACAUCUUAAGACCUUGGAAAAAUGCACUAAUGGGUUUUGUUCUAACUCUGCCUGGUCAUGUAGACACGAUUUUGGUCUUCAGUUGAAUUUGGCAGCCAUGGAAUUUGAGGUUGUGUAUAAAGUCAUCCAAAUUGGCAGCUCCAGCCACAUUGUUGGGACUAAUAUUACAGUGAACAAGUCCACUCAGGGCAAAAGGAAUCAGGCAGAAUUGCUGGAAUCACUACAAUUUUCAGAUGUACUCUCACCUCCCUGAAGAUUUAAAAACUACUCCUUAAGAAAUCCAUUAUUUAUAAUUAGUCUUCUUGAGUCUUAACAAUUUAUUUUUGUUACAUUUUUAUAUAUACAUUCUUAGGGCCAUUAGAAAAACCCACACACCUAUUCUCAGCCAUUACUUGGAUUCAACUCACUGUCAAAUCUACCAUUCUUUUUGCUUUGCUCUCUAUAUCCUUGUAAAAAGAAAACCCCCCAAAAAGCCACCCUCCAAUCCCUUCCCUCCAUGAAAGAACUGAUUUAAAAAUAAAAAGGCUGGAAUCAAUAGACCAGAUACGUCAGACUCAAAUGCUUAAAGGAUUAAGAAUUUACUUCAUCUGUGAGAUGGAAUCAAUGAGUCCUUUCAUGCAGCUAUUUGGAAGCUCAUUUUGAGGUCUCUGAUGUGGAAGGGAUAUCAGGAUCAGCUGAUGAUUAUGCUACCUACUCAGGCUCCAAUUUGAUGAUAUGGCUGUGAUGUUUUGCCUCAGAGUUAAUGCAACAUAGAAUAUGUUUUCCUCUGCAGCAAAGCAGCUUGCUACUGUGUUCUAUUUGAUGCACCUCCCAAGGUAGAUUUCAUCAAUGCCAUGUUGCCUGUAAUUCAAGUCUGACCGUCCCAAUGUGAACUCCAAAUUUGGGAACAAUCUUUGUCUGGAAGGAGCCUCAGGAUGCAUAUAUCUGCAGUGGUCUCCACUUACCUGUUUCAAGAACAAGUUUAGGUGGCGGUGUAGCACAAGUUUUGGAGUUCUCUUACCUGAGCUGCCUCUGGCUAUAUUUGAGAGCUGGCAUUUCCCCCCUCCACCGCCUCCAUCAGAGGUGUUGCCAGUGUUUUUGUUAUCUCUGCUUGUGCCUCCAGGGUUGCUGGUGCCUUUGCUGCUGGUUUUGCUGUGGUCACAUGCAUCACCACCAGGGUCACUGGGAUGGCAGGCACCUCUGCUGUGUCCAAGGUUGCCUGGGUCACUAACACUGCUGCUGUGGUUGAUGCAGGGGAGCCAAGGUCACUGGCACCUUCACUGCACCCAAGGUUGUCAGGUUCCCAGGUACAACCACCAAAAGCAGGAAGGGUGGAGUUGCAGGAGCUGCCACUGCUCUCUCAGGGGGCCAGGGUCACAUUCCCUGUGGAGCCUGGGUUCCUUGUGGCCAUAAGUGCCACCGUGGCUGGGGGACUGGAGUCACAUGUACUCCUCCACUGAUGCUAUCAGGUUCUCUGGGGGUGAAGGCACCACUGCAGCUGGAGAGGGGGCGAGGGUCAUGGGCCCCACCUCCCCCACUGCUACUGGGAUUACUGGGGCUGUGGGCUCAGCUGCUGCAGCCAGGGAGGUGUGGUCUCAGGCCCCAUCUCUGCUGUUUCCCUGGUCUCACCACCUCUAUGCAUUCCAGUCUACCCGCCUUCAGAUGUACAGAUGUGUGGAUCCCUCCAGUGUCCUGGUGUGCUGAGCAGAGGAAACUUUGUUGAGUUAUGAAUAUCCUACCUAGUUGUAGAUUGAAGGAAAGAAACAAAAGGAGAAUCUCAUGCCACCAUGAUGCUGAUGUCACUCCUUGAUCUGUCUAUUCUUUUACCAAUAUUACUGCUUUCAUCAUUUUGGGUCUAUGAUUAAUAAAUUAUUUCAUCCCAUAAUCAUUGAGUACCUGGUGUGUGUCUGAAACUGUGUUUGGCAUGAGGAUACAGCAGUUUAUCAGGUGGACAUAGUUCCUGCCCUCACAUUCAUUGUUUCUAGUGCAGGAAACAGGAAAUAAUCAAUGUGUACAACCUAGUGAGCCAUGGGCACUGAGAAAAGAGGCACAAGGUGUUAGGGGAACAUAUGGUAAGGGUCUAUUCCACACUAGGAGUCAAUGAGGAUUCCUGGAUGAGUGAUAUCUAAGUUUAGUCCUGAGGUUCAUGGUAGGCAGGCAAACAGACGAGAGAGAAGUUGAAGAUGGAUGGAACAACAACCUGACAAUCUGAGAGUCAAUAGAGAGCCUGGUGCAUUUGAGAAGCUGAAAACAAUUCUGCAUGGCUGGAGCAGAGUACAGAGGGUUGGUUCCGGACAGGGGAGCCAAACUAUGUUAAGGAUCAUUGCCUUUACCCUGAAGACCAUGGGGAAUCAUUGAAAAGGUUUAAAUAAGAGAGUGACUUGACCAGAUUCACAUUUAAGGAAGAUCUGUCUGGCUGCAACAUAGAGGAUCAAUUGGAGUGGAGUAAAAAAUUUUGUCAGGGACAUUCGUUGUUCUAAUAAAUCAAAGGAAAAGAAAAUUGAUGCUGGCCUGAACUAGGGUAGUGGUACCAGGAAUGGAGAGAAUAUAGUGGAUCUGACAAAGUAUAAUUUGGUAUAUUUGGAAGAUAUUUAGGAGGUAAAAUUGGCAGAAAUUGGUGAUUGAUUGGAUGCUGAAUAUAAGGGAGAGGGAGGAAUGAGAGCUGAUAGCACAGGACGGUUGGGUACAUGUUGGUUCCAUUCACUGAGAGGGAAUGCAGGAAAGGUGAAUAUGAGAUGAGAAGAUGCUAAUUUUUGUGUAUGUUAAGUUUGAGAUGUAUGUGGUACACCCAGAACUACACGUCCAACAGGCUAUUGAAGUCUGAAUGAGAGUAAGACCAUCUGGAGCACAAAUUUGGUUGUCUUCAGUAUUUGAAGGAUGGACUAAGCUAUAAGGGUGGAUGUGAUCUCCCAGGCAGGAUUUAUAGAGUGAAAAUAGCAGAAGGGAAAAACAGAAAAGAGUGAUAGCUAAAGGUAUAAAGAUCAAUGUAAUUCAGACUUUCUAUCCAGG